CGUUGAUGGUGAGGGAAAUUUCUAAGCUUACCCUUAAAUCACUCCCAAACUUCAUAAAUAUUUUAUCCUUCUUUCUGCCUAAAACUUAAAAUAUUGCUUCUCAAAUA